UUUUUUUUUCUUUUCUUUUUUCCAUGUUUCCAUUUACUCAUUUAUGUUUUUUAUUUUUUCAAACAGGAUUUUUUUUUUUAUAGCUCUGACUUUUUUGGAACUCACUGAUCAUCCUGGUCUGCCUUCUAAGAACAUGUGACACCAUUCCCAUACCACACAUUAUUUUUCUGUUAUUUCACUUUGAUUUUUUUUUCAGUUUAACUUUUUUAAUUCACUAAUUCAUAUUUAAAAGAGUUCUCAGAGAGGAGGAGGGAAAGUGGAAGAAAUGCGUUGUUUGAGUAUGAAGUUAAGGCACUAUGUUUUUGAGAAUAAGGCUUUCCCAACAUUACACAGCAAGUAAGUGGGCAGGGUCAUAAUUAUAGCCCAUAUCUCUACAGGUAAUAGUUUAUAUUCCCUCUUCAUUCUCAGAAUUCUCAGGAUAGUUCAAGGACAUCUAUGGUUAGAAUGGCAGGGAGUCAGUGUUGGUCAAAAGGCAAAAGUUAGAGAUGUGGCAGUCAUUUUUUUAUCCCAAGGAGUCAGACCUUGAGACUGAAACAGCCCAAAAUGGUCCUCCCAAAAAGAAGAAGAAUGUUCCAAGCUCCAGAUCUGAAAAGCAUGCUGCAAGUGUAUCAAGGGCUCAUGGAUUUCCAGAAACACUGGGUUCAUGUGACUCUACAAGAAAACAACCAGGAAAGCAUUGAAACAAAAGACAAAUAGGACAUAUGAGUAACUAUAGGAAGAAUAUUCAAAUUUCUGAGACCUACCAUUUGAGUGUACUGGGAUACCCAGCUAUUUCCUCAGGGAAGCAUUACUGGGAAGUUGACGUGUCUAGAAGUGAUGCCUGGCUCCUCGGAUUAAAUGAUGGAAAGUGUGCUCAGCCUCAAUUUCAUUCAAUGAAUGAAAUAAGCUUCAAAAUGCAACAUAAUUCUAAUGAUAAACAAAAUCAUCAGCCUAAUGUAAUGUAUCAGCCUAAAUAUGGCUACUGGGUUAUAGGGAUGAGGUAUAAGGUUGUAUACAAGGCCUUUGAUGAGUGUUCUAUCACCCACGAUUCCAGUGUCUUAGCCCUCUCUCUGUCUGGUCGUCCCAGUCUCGGCGGAGUUUUCCUGGAUCAGGAAGCUUGCACUCUCUCAUUUUAUGAUGUUUCUAACUGUGGAGCUCUCAUCUACAGGUUCUAUGACCCUUUCUUCCCUCCUAUACUCUAUCCAUAUUUUAAUCCUAUGAAUUGUACAGGUCCUAUGAUUAUAUGCGGGCCACCCUCCUAAACCCUCACCUAUAUCUAUACAGUGCCCCCCAUGUCUGUUCUAUCUUAUGUGCCACAGCACACUUGCAUCAUUCUAACUUUUUUUUUCCUUGGGCCCUUUAUUUUAACAACCUUCAUUUCUAACCACAAUCCACUGUGGAUUCAUUUCCUUGAUCCAGUUGCUUGUCUGCUCACAAGAUGAUUACUGUUUUUUGUCAUUUCCCAUAUUCCCAAAGAAAAUGGGUGUUCCCUCGUGAAGUGAAAUUGAGCCUCUGCUAACACCAUCUCUGUAGGAAAACAGUCAAAAGAAUGACUCAUGGUGAGCAAUGUCUUAGGGACCUGUAAGAGAAGCUCCAGAAUAAAAGAAAGGGCCUUUAAUCUCAGGGACAUUUUGUUCCCUGGAUUGCUUUGGAUGUGAUUUUGUGCGUCCUGCAAAAAGAACAUCUGCGUUCAAUUUGUAAGAUAUGUUUAUUUUUGUUGGAUGUCAGAACAUAGCUUUAGAAUCCAUUCCUGUGUAAGGAUAUACUGAAAGCCAGCCUCAAUGUACACUGGUUCUGAAUAUGGGCUUAUGCCUUCAUUUCAUGAUUUCUGAGAUAUAUUCUGUAGUAUAGUGCCAGACAAUUGUGCUUAUAUGGUCUCUCUUUAGACAUCUGUAAUAAAUGUUUGCUCUG